AGACACGGCCCAGAUUCUAACGGGAGCCACCAGUAGGGAAUCUUCCACAAUGGCCGAAAGCCGGAUGGAGCAACGCCGCGUGAGUGAAGAAGUUUUUCGGAUCGUAAAACUCUGUUGUAAGGGAAGAACAAGUACAGUAGUAACUGGCUGUACAUGGACGGUACCUUAUUAGAAAGCCACGGCNAACUACGUGCCAGCAGCCGCGGUAAUACGUAGCCGGCAAGCGUUGUCCGGAAUUAUUGGGCGUAAAGCGCGCGCAGGUGGUCCUUUAAGUCUGAUGUGAAAGCCCACGGCUCAACCGUGGAGGGUCAUUGGAAACUGGGGGACUUGAGUGCCAGAAGAGGAAAGUGGAAUUCCAAGUGUACCGGUGAAAUGCGUAGAGAUUUGGAGGAACACCAGUGGCGAAGGCGACUUUCUGGUCUGUAACUGACACUGAGGCGCGAAAGCGUGGGGAGCAAACAGGAUUAGAUACCCUGGUAGUCCACGCCGUAAAC
rnacentral:rRNA from 1 species